rnacentral:rRNA from 1 species
CGGCGGCAGACGGGUGAGUAACGCGUGGGAACGUGCCCUUCCGGUUCGGAAGAACUCAGGGAAACGUGAGCUAAUACCGGAUACGUGCGAGAGCAGAAAGGUUUAUCUGCCGAAGGAUCGGCCCGCGUCUGAUUAGCUAGUUGGUGAGGUUAUGGCUCACCAAGGCGACGAUCAGUAGCUGGUCUGAGAGGAUGAUCAGCCACACUGGGACUGAGACACGGCCCAG